ACGUAGGGUGCAAGCGUUAAUCGGAAUGACUGGGCGUAAAGCGUGCGCAGGCGGCUUGUUAUGUCUGCUGUGAAAGCCCCGGGCUUAACCUGGGAACUGCGGUGGAAACUGGCAAGCUUGAGUGUAGCAGAGGAGGGUGGAAUUCCACGUGUAGCGGUGAAAUGCGUAGAGAUGUGGAGGAACACCGGUGGCGAAGGCAGCUCCCUGGGCUAACACUGACGCUGAUGCGCGAAAGCGUGGGGAGCAAACAG
rnacentral:rRNA from 1 species